rnacentral:tRNA from 1 species
UCCCUGGUGGCUCAGAUGGUAAAGCAUCUGCCUACAAUGCGGGAGACCCGGGUUUGAUCCCUGGGUCGGGAA